rnacentral:rRNA from 1 species
AUUGAACGCUGGCGGCAGGCUUAACACAUGCAAGUCGAGCGGAGAUGAGGUGCUUGCACCUUAUCUUAGCGGCGGACGGGUGAGUAAUGCUUAGGAAUCUGCCUAUUAGUGGGGGACAACAUUCCGAAAGGAAUGCUAAUACCGCAUACGUCCUACGGGAGAAAGCAGGGGAUCUUCGGACCUUGCGCUAAUAGAUGAGCCUAAGUCGGAUUAGCUAGUUGGUGGGGUAAAGGCCUACCAAGGCGACGAUCUGUAGCGGGUCUGAGAGGAUGGGCCGCCACACUGGGACUGAGAGACGGCCCAGACUCCUACGGGAGGCAGCAGUGGGGAAUAUUGGACAAUGGGGGGAACCCUGAUCCAGCCAUGCCGCGUGUGUGAAGAAGGCCUUAUGGUUGUAAAGCACUUUAAGCGAGGAGGAGGCUACUGAGACUAAUACUCUUGGAUAGUGGACGUUACUCGCAGAAUAAGCACCGGCUAACUCUGUGCCAGCCGCCGCGGUAACAC